UUUGCAUACUGCUCAGUAACACGUGGAUAACCUGCCCUACACUGGGGGAUAAUCUCGGGAAACUGAGGAUAAUACCCCAUAGACCACUACGCCUGGAACGGUGAGUGGUUGAAAGCUCCGGCGGUGUAGGAUGGGUCUGCGGCGUAUCAGGUUGUAGGGGGUGUAAUGGACCUCCUAGCCAUCGACGCGUACGGGUUGUGGGAGCAAUAGCCCGGAGACGGAUUCUGAGACACGAAUCCGGACCCUACGGGGUGCAGCAGGCGCGAAAACUUCACACUGCAGGAAACUGUGAUGAGGGAACUCCAAGUGACUGCACAAUGUGUAGCCUUUUCUUGAAUCUUAAUAGUUCUUGGAAUAAGGGCUGGGAAAGACCGGUGCCAGCCGCCGCGGUAAUACCGGCAGCUCAAGUGGUCGUCGCUUUUAUUGGGCCUAAAACGUCCGUAGCCUGUUUGGUAAAUCUGUGGGUAAAUCAACGAGCUUAACUCGUUGAAUUCUGCAGAGACUGCCAGACUAGGGACCGGGAGAGGUAUGAGGUACUCUGGGGGUAGGGGUAAAAUCCUGUCAUCCUCAGAGGACCACCUGUUGCGAAGGCGUCAUACUGGAACGGAUCCGACGGUCAGGGACGAAGCCUAGGGGCACGAACCGGAUUAGAUACCCGGGUAGUCCUAGGUGUAAACGCUGUGGAUUUUGGUGUGUGGGGUCCGCAAUGGGCCCCAUGUGCCGGAGUGAAGAUGUUAAAUCCACUGCCUGGGGAGUACGGUCGCAAGGCUGAAACUUAAAGGAAUUGGCGGGGGAGCACUGCAACGGGAGGAGCGUGCGGUUUAAUU
rnacentral:rRNA from 1 species